rnacentral:rRNA from 1 species
AUUGAACGCUGGCGGCAGGCCUAACACAUGCAAGUCGAGCGGAGCGGCGGACGGGGGAGUAAUACCAAGGAAUCGGCCUGAUAGUGGGGGAGAACGAUCGGAAACGGAAGCGAAUACCGCAUACCAGCAGAAGAGCCUAGGUCGGAUUAGCUAGUGGGUGGGGUAAUGGCUCACCAAGGCUACUGUCCGUAACUGGUCUGAGAGGAUGAUCAGUCACUCUGGAACUGAGAAACGGUCCAGACUCCUACGGGAGGCAGCAGUGGGGAAUAUUGGACAAUGGGCGAGAGCCUGAUCCAGCCAUGCCGCGUGUGUGAAGAAGGCCUUCGGAUUGUAAAGCACUUUAAGUUGGGAGGCGUUACCGACAGAAUAAGCACCGGCUAACUCUGUGCCAGCAGCCGCGGUAAUAC